UUGUUUCUUCAUAUCCC
rnacentral:miRNA from 1 species